GGGGACCCGCACAAGCGGUGGAGCAUGUGGUUUAAUUCGAUGCAACGCGAAAAACCUUACCACUCCUUGACAUGGAAAUUAUACCUAUUCGAAGGGAUAGGGUCGGUUCGGCCGGGUUUCACACAGGUGUUGCAUGGCUGUCGUCAGCUCGUGUCGUGAGAUGUUGGGUUAAGUCCCGCAACGAGCGCAACCCUCAUCCUUAGUUACCAUCAGGUAAUGCUGGGGACUUUAAGGAGACUGCCAGUGAUAAACUGGAGGAAGGUGGGGAUGAUGUCAAGUCAUCAUGGCCCUUAUGGAGUGGGCUACACACGUGCUACAAUGGUGGCUACAAUGGGCUGCAAAGUCGCGAGGCUAAGCCAAUCCCUUAAAAGCCAUCUCGGUUCGGAUUGUACUCUGCAACUCGAGUGCAUGAAGUUGGAAUCGCUAGUAAUCGUGGAUCAGCACGCCACGGUGAAUACGUUCUCGGGUCUUGUACACACUGCCCGUCACGCCAUGGGAAUUGGUUUCACUCGAAGCUAACGACCUAACCGCAAGGAGGGAGUUAUUUAAAGUGGGAUCGGUGACUGGGGUG
rnacentral:rRNA from 1 species